rnacentral:rRNA from 1 species
UACGUAGGGGGCAAGCGUUGUCCGGAAUCAUUGGGCGUAAAGCGCGUGUAGGCGGCUUCGUAAGUCCGUUGUGAAAGUCCAGGGCUCAACCCUGGAAUGCCGAUGGAUACUGCGGAGCUAGAGUCCGGAAGAGGCGAGUGGAAUUCCUGGUGUAGCGGUGAAAUGCGCAGAUAUCAGGAGGAACACCAAUGGCGAAGGCAGCUCGCUGGGACGGUACUGACGCUGAGGAGCGAAAGCUAGGGGAGCAAACGGG